AUGAUGUUUAUACCGUUAGCUCAGUUAUUGACUUAUUGUACAAGUUCAGUUGCUACUAUCGGCAAACUGUUGCCUGUAAGUUAUAAAGAAUUGACUGGGGGCAAAAUGUUGUUACUUCUGGUGCGAGUUUAUUUUGUCCAAGCCUCCCAUCUUGAUGGGAUAUCUUGCAAUAGUGAUGUUUACUUUUGGAGAAAGAAGAUGUCAAUUUUUUUCUAUAUAAUCAUUGACAUACACAUAAAGGCGCAUUCAGAAUGCAUGAAAUUCACCUGGAGAAGGUCAAUUCUCCUCACAGAACCUGCGAAACCUUUCAGCAUUCCAAAUAUGGCCUUAAUUGCCAUGCUGUAUUAA
rnacentral:rRNA from 1 species